rnacentral:rRNA from 1 species
UGGGGAAUUUUGGACAAUGGGCGAAAGCCUGAUCCAGCAAUGCCGCGUGUGUGAAGAAGGCCUUCGGGUUGUAAAGCACUUUUGUCCGGAAAGAAAUGGCUCUGGUUAAUACCUGGGGUCGAUGACGGUACCGGAAGAAUAAGGACCGGCUAACUACGUGCCAGCAGCCGCGGUAAUACGUAGGGUCCAAGCGUUAAUCGGAAUUACUGGGCGUAAAGCGUGCGCAGGCGGUUGUGCAAGACCGAUGUGAAAUCCCCGAGCUUAACUUGGGAAUUGCAUUGACGACUGCACGGCUAGAGUGUGUCAGAGGGGGGUAGAAUUCCACGUGUAGCAGUGAAAUGCGUAGAGAUGUGGAGGAAUACCGAUGGCGAAGACAGCCCCCUGGGAUAACACUGACGCUCAUGCACGAAAGCGUGGGGAGCAAACAGG